rnacentral:tRNA from 1 species
GACUUCACAGCUCAGUUGGUCGAGCAUCGCACCUGUCUCGCGGAGGUCACGGAUUCGAAUCCCGUUGAAGCCC